rnacentral:rRNA from 1 species
CAACUUUUAACAACGGAUCUCUUGGCUCUCGCAUCGAUGAAGAACGCAGCGAAAUGCGAUAAGUAAUGUGAAUUGCAGAAUUCAGUGAAUCAUCGAAUUUUUGAACGCACCUUGCGCUCUCUGGUAUUCCGGGGAGCACACCUGUUCGAGUGUCAUUA